GAUCCUGGCUCAGGACGAACGCUGGCGGCGCGCCUAACACAUGCAAGUCGAACGAGCGAAAGAGAGCUUGCUUUCUCGAGCGAGUGGCGAACGGGUGAGUAACGCGUGAGGAACCUGCCUCAAAGAGGGGGACAACAGUUGGAAACGACUGCUAAUACCGCAUAAGCCCACGACCCGGCAUCGGGAAGAGGGAAAAGGAGCAAUCCGCUUUGAGAUGGCCUCGCGUCCGAUUAGCUAGUUGGUGAGG
rnacentral:rRNA from 1 species